rnacentral:lncRNA from 1 species
AACCUUUUUCCUAGAUAGAAUCGGACGUCGUCCGUUGCUUCUCAGUAGCGUAGGAGGCAUGGUCGCAUCAUUAGCUACACUCGGGCUUUCACUAACGAUCAUCGAUCAUUCAGACGAGAAACUAAUGUGGGCCAUCGCAUUGUGCAUCACGAUGGUUUUGGCUUACGUGGCAUUCUUCUCUAUAGGGAUGGGCCCCAUCACGUGGGUGUACAGCUCGGAGAUCUUCCCAUUGAGGCUACGCGCCCAGGGAGCGAGUAUGGCAGUGGCGGCUAACAGGGUGACCAGUGGGGUAAUUUCGAUGUCCUUUAUUUCGUUGUAUAAGGCUAUAUCCAUUGGCGGGGCGUUUUUCUUGUUCGCCGGGGUGGCGACGGUGGCAUGGUUCUUUUUCUACACGUGCUUGCCGGAAACCCAAGGGAAAACGCUGGAGGAAAUGGAAGGGCUUUUUGGCAAAUUGAUGGGUUGGAGGAAGGAGGCUAAGAAGCUGAAGAUGAGGAUGAAGGAAGUUAACGGUGAUGGAACAAGUAACGGUCAGAUUCAGCUAGGAAAUACAACUACUAACGGUCGCUAAGGUAGAUGAAGAAGGGCAAUAUGGUAAAUAUAUGUGUUUGGUAUGGUUUAGAUCUGAAACGAAGGAGAAGAGUAGGUUUGUUUUUCCUUUUUUCCUGGUUCUUUUUGUUUCCAAGGAAAAUGAAGUUCAAGGUGUGACCCUUGCGGGUAAAAAAAGGAAGAAAAUGUAAAUGCUUUUAUGCAAUGGAAACCGGAAAGGAAAAUUAUUAUGAAUUCCAAAAGAAACACUUUACAAUCUCCUUAGUGUUCUUUUCCCUUUAAAAUUAAUUAAGAUAUGUUUUCUUUUCUUUUUUUUUUGACAAAAAUGUUGAUCAAAGGAAGUCUCAAUAUGUUAAGAAAUUAACAUUAAUAUAAAGACAAGAAAAAAUUAAAUGAUUGCACUAUAUAUUAUGAGACACACCCUACUUGGAGGGAGCUCCAAUAAUUGGGGAAGCAAAGGCAGAGGUGACAAAUGGGUUGAUGGAUGGUCGGUUAGCGUGCGAGUUAGAGGGAGGUCAUUCUCUGUUGGAAACAUAACUUUUUUCUACUUUCACAAGAAACUGGGUUAUGUUUCUGCUUAGAUAAGAACUCAUGACUGGAAUGGUUGAGCGGAAUAAACCUUAAUUUCACUUCUCUUCAUUCUUUUAAUAUAAUUUUUUUUUUUUACUUUACCAUUAGUAAUAGUAUUUUAUUUGGUAUUCAUUUUUAGAAAGAAUUAAGGCGGUCCCAUCAACCAUCACAAUGGGCAAUCACACUACCAUACUCUCUCAACCGAUCCACCCCUAUUUGAAACAACUGGAAACAAGUAUAACCUACAGCAACCUAUAACUUAAUUAGAGAAAGCAAUUUAUGAAUACAAACGGAGAAGAAAGAAAAACUCUCAUUCUGCUCUGAGUUUUGUUUGGUAAGUGCUGUAUCUUAAUCAAAUGACUAAAAGCAAGCCAAUCAUUUUAAAAAAGUUCCAAAAAAUAUAUAUGGAUCAUACUAAUUGAUCAGACCGCAAUAAAACCGAAUCAAGCAAGAUAUUCCACGAGACAUGCGAGAGAUGUGAUGGACAAUAAACCAGUGAGCAAGCCUGUGGUAUAUGUCCUAUAGAAAGAGGACUAACAAAGCACGAUUGUGGGGUCUAAAUUUAUGUCCUGGUGAAGGAUAGUAUGACACUUGACUACUCGAGGGGAUUUGACUCUGAUUAAAAUGUCUCUCCUAGUGAUGUAAAUGGCUAUGGUUUUAGUUAGUUGGGUAUUGGUUUGAUAUCUUUAAGAUUUUCUUUCGCCUAAACCAAUGGUAUUUGUUGUAGGCAUUUGUACACACAUUUUCUCGUGACAUUGGCAACCUCAGGGCUCAGGCUCAGUACUCAUCUCUUGCGAAGAUUGCUAGUGGGAUCAACCCUGACAUAAACUACCGUGUUGAUGGUUUCCCUUCCACAUAAUUUUGGGCGGCUAGCAAGUUCUGCAUGCCAACUUGAUAAUCUAAAUCGACUUUGAUUAUGAAUGCAAAGAUACAUAUAUAGAAGGAUGAAAUCAAGCAAAGAAUAGUUGUUACUGUACAAAGUGGUCUCAAGUUUCAUUUUCCAUAACCCCUGAUGCGUAUAAUAAUUGAGUUAUCUCAUGGCUCAACUUGAAUAUAUGCUCACUCUCGAACCCCAUAUCUCCACCAGGGGAUAACUUUUCCAAGAUGAAACAACAUCAUUAAGAGCAAGCCUCCCACAACUGCAACGGCAUGCAUGUCCCGGUGAACGAAUUUUCUUGCCCUGUCCUUUUUAAUUAGGGGUGAAUGUGAUAUGGUUUAAUUGGGUGCAGGACCUGUAACUUGUUUUGGGUACCUUUGACUGAUGGAUCUGCGUAUAUGUAAGCUUUUGUUAUUAUAAAUUAGGCGCAGUCCCCUCUAACAUCUGAAAAUCCUAGUAUAAAUAAAGGGUUGUAGUUUGCCCACAUUGAGGACAAGUGAAAAGCUUCAUAGAAUGAAAGACAGGCCCGUACGUUCACCAAUCUUAAUGCUUUCUUCUUGGUGUCCAGGAUUUACAUAUUUCAGGUUUUCUGAUAGCAAAUCAAUUUUGACAACAACAAGUUCGAUUCAUAUAAUAUUUUGCUCAUAAUUCACUCAUAUAAUGUUGUUGGUCUUCAACUAUCCGAUUAUAUACAAAUUAGUAUGAAAUAGUAAAUAAUUAUUUAAUUAAUAUGUAUUUUAAAUGAGUAGUCAAAUUGAAUUUUUCGUGUGAUUGUUUGCUAGGGUGUGUCUCAUACGGACCCCAUAAUAACGAUAGCUCACACAUGUUGAUUGUACUAUGUGGAUGGUAAAGUAAAGGGGAAGGUAUUGGCCCACCUUGAUGUAACCUUAUUUUGUACUAUGCUAUAAUUUGGUCUUUUUUAAGCAACUGAAGCGUCUGAGUCUCAACAAACCCUCUACCCCCACAUACCAAACUCGGAAGAGACUCAUGGCUACUUGAAUCUCUAAAACUACCAGACUACACUUCCAUAUAUACAACAAAUCUCGCUCUCUUUCUCAUCCUUUUGUACCUAGAAAACAUGGCUGGGUUGGGAGUAGAGAACACUGUCGUUUCAGCUCAACUUAUAGACAACAAAACUCUAGCAGAUUUUGAGCCUGCAAACAAACCUAAAAGAAAUAUGUUUGCUUUUGCUUGUGCUGUACUUGCUUCCUUAACUACCAUCUUACUUGGUUAUGGUAAGUCUCUUUUCUUAGGCGUUUCCAUUCUUUGUUUUACAAACAGAAAACAAUAAAAAAUAAAAAAAAAAGGUUUUCUUAAGAACCCUAAACUAAGUACUUGCAGUAGUAUCUUUCCCAGGAAAUAAAAGGGUUUAUGGAUAACAUAUUGGCGGUCAUUUUGCAUUAAAACUUAAAUGCAUGUUAGUACUAUUACCUUUUCUUUAAUUAUGACGUAAAUGUUUUUUUCUGCAUGAAAUAGAUAUUGGAGUGAUGAGUGGAGCUAUAAUCUUUAUAAAAAAGGACCUCAAAAUCAACGAUGUUCAAGUUGAAAUCCUUGUCGGUAUCCUCAACUUGUGCUGUCUGGUUGGUUCAUUCGCAGCCGGUAGAACCUCCGACUGGAUAGGCCGCCGUUACACCAUCGUGUUGGCCAAUGCCAUUUUCUUCGUGGGAGCUCUCCUCAUGGCCUUCGCAACCAACUACGCUCUCCUCAUGUUCGGUCGUUUCAUCGGUGGUAUAGGCGCCGGCUUUGCCAUCAUGAUUGCUCUUGUUUAUACUGCUGAACUCUCCCCUGCUUCAUCCCGUGGUUUCCUCACCUCAUUCACGGAGGUAAUUUUAAAGAACUUUGAAAAUUACUACUUUCUUUUUUGAGUUUUGAUGGACAUAAAACAAAGUUAGAAAGUAAGGUUUUUUUGGGUGUGUAGGUUUCUAUUAAUGGUGGUAUAUUAUUAGGGUACGUUUCGAACUAUGCAUUUUCGAAGCUACCAAUGAACUUAGGCUGGCGAUUCAUGCUCGGCGUUGGGGCAAUUCCAUCUGUUUUCUUGGGUGUUGGGGUUCUGGCGAUGCCAGAGUCGCCGCGUUGGCUGGUCAUGCAAGGUCGACUCGGUGAAGCCAAGAGAGUGCUUGAUAAAAGCUUGGACAGCAAAGAGGAAGCUCAGCUUAGACUCAAUGAUAUCAAAGAAGCAGUUGGGAUCCCUGCCAGUUCAACAGACGAUGUUGUUCAAGUCCAAAAGCAAAGCCAUGGAGAAGGCGUGUGGAGAGAGUUGCUUGUAUACCCCACACCAGCUAUCAGGCAUGUGUUGAUUUGCAUCAUCGGGAUUCAAUUCUUCCAGCAAUCGUCCGGCAUAGAAGCUGUCGUUUUAUACAGUCCAAGGAUUUUUGAAAAAGCCGGGAUCACAUCAUCAAAUGAUAAGCUACUCGCCACCGUAGCUGUCGGUUUCGUCAAGACAAUCUUUAUCUUGGUGGCCACGUUUUUACUCGACAGAAUCGGACGGCGUCCGUUGCUCUUAAGCAGUGUGGGGGGCAUGGUCGCGUCAUUGGCUGCAAUCGCAUUUUCCCUAACUAUCAUCGAUCAUUCGGAGGAGAAACUAGUGUGGGCCAUUGGACUGUGCAUCACAAUGGUUUUGGCGUUCGUGGCAUUUUUCUCGAUUGGGAUGGGACCCAUAGCUGGUGUCUACACCUCGGAGAUCUUCCCG